UGCAUAGCUAAUAUUAACCAAGAAAUUAAUUUCGACUAUAACGCCAAAGCCAAGACUCCCACACCAAGCUAAUAGCC
rnacentral:tRNA from 1 species